rnacentral:rRNA from 1 species
UAUACGGUAAUUAGGGUGAAAAGCGGAGAAUCCUGUGACCCAGAGUGUCUUUGACGCAGUUGCGCCCGAAGCCAUCCGGUUGAGGGCACGUCUGCCUGGGCGUC